GGGGUACGGGAUAGCUAUAGCGUGUAAGUGGUACGCUGGACCCCUUCCGGGGGGACCCGUGGCGAACGGGUGAGUAACACGUGAGCAACCUGCCCCUGGCUCUGGGACAACCACUGGAAACGGUGGCUAAUACCGGAUACGACUCAUCACCGCAUGGUGUGUGGGUGGAAAGUUUUUCGGCUGGGGAUGGGCUCGCGGCCUAUCAGCUUGUUGGUGGGGUAAUGGCCCACCAAGGCGACGACGGGUAGCCGGCCUGAGAGGGCGACCGGCCACACUGGGACUGAGACACGGCCCAGACUCCUACGGGAGGCAGCAGUGGGGAAUAUUGCACAAUGGGCGAAAGCCUGAUGCAGCGACGCCGCGUGAGGGAUGACGGCCUUCGGGUUGUAAACCUCUUUCAGCUCCGAAGAAGCGAAAGUGACGGUAGGAGCAGAAGAAGCACCGGCUAACUACGUGCCAGCAGCCGCGGUAAUACGUAGGGUGCAAGCGUUGUCCGGAAUUAUUGGGCGUAAAGAGCUCGUAGGCGGUGUGUCGCGUCUGCUGUGAAAACUCAGGGCUCAACUCUGAGCUUGCAGUGGGUACGGGCACACUUGAGUGCUGUAGGGGAGACUGGAAUUCCUGGUGUAGCGGUGAAAUGCGCAGAUAUCAGGAGGAACACCGGUGGCGAAGGCGGGUCUCUGGGCAGUUACUGACGCUGAGGAGCGAAAGCAUGGGGAGCGAACAGGAUUAGAUACCCUGGUAGUCCAUGCCGUAAACGUUGGGCGCUAGGUGUGGGGUCCAUUCCACGGAUUCCGUGCCGCAGCUAACGCAUUAAGCGCCCCGCCUGGGGGAGUACGGCCGCAAGGCUAAAACUCAAAGGAAUUGACGGGGGCCCGCCCAAGCGGCGGAGCAUGGCGGAUUAAUUCGAUGCAACCCGAAAAACCUUACCAAGGCUUGACAUGCGCGGUGGAAUCCCAGAGAUGGGGUGUCAUUUAGUUGGUCGCGUACAGGUGGUGCAUGGUUGUCGUCAGCUCGUGUCGUGAGAUGUUGGGUUAAGUCCCGCAACGAGCGCAACCCUCGUUCCAUGUUGCCAGCACGUGAUGGUGGGGACUCAUGGGAGACUGCCGGGGUCAACUCGGAGGAAGGUGGGGAUGACGUCAAAUCAUCAUGCCCCUUAUGUCUUGGGCUUCACGCAUGCUACAAUGGCCAGUACAGAGGGCUGCGAUACCGUGAGGUGGAGCGAAUCCCAAAAAGCUGGUCUCAGUUCGGAUCGGGGUCUGCAACUCGACCCCGUGAAGUCGGAGUCGCUAGUAAUCGCAGAUCAGCAACGAUGCGGUGAAUACGUUCCCGGGCCUUGUACACACCGCCCGAUAUGUCGUGAAAGUCGGUCACAUCGGGUUCCAGGGCCUCACUAUAAGGGACACAGCUCCGUAUAGG
rnacentral:rRNA from 1 species